CGCCGCGCCGGGCCCCGGUUGGCUCGCCAGCGCCGCCCGCCCCCGCUUCCUCCUCCGCGGCACCUGCAGACACCGGCACGGCUCGGCUCGGCACAGCGAGUGGCCCCAAGAGUGAAGCCCUUUUCGAACCACGUCCAAUUGUAUCAUUAAUCCACUAAAGCCAAAUCACAGCACUGCAUGAAUAACGUCGGAGUGGAUUAUUUCUUGCAAUCACAUCAUGAAUGAUCGUCCAAGUCAUCCAAGUGGGCAAAUGGUUGAUGUAGCAGAGACUUGCUAAAAAAGGCAAGAUUUAAUUUCAUGUAAAUGAAGUACAUCUGGGACUGGUAUUUCUGAUAUGUGUGUAAAUGUGAAGAGAGCAACUCCUUGCGCUUGUCUCCCUACAGCCCUCUUUCCUCAUGGCCUCAUGAGCAGGGCAAAAAAGGCUCUGCUUUCCUGUUCUGCCUUGGAUGUAGCAAUGGCUAUUAUAGCCAUGACCUUGCAAACAUAUGCUGCUUCAAACAAGAAAAAUCUAUUGUGUACAAAGGGGUUGACUGGGGUCCUCAGGAAGAUGCCUUUGUGUAAGCGGUACACUGAAAAUGUGGUUCUCCUUGCAAAUCUUCCACCUGACACAUUGCCUUCGGUCGGGUGCUCACUGUUGCAUGGUCUGCUGUGCUUUGGACUGAACAUCAUUUUCACAAAUGCCCUGUUAUCAUUACAGAAAUAUUUCAUUUUCAGCAACAUGCAGCAAGACCCCAGUCAAGCAGAAGUACGUGGCUGGACAUAGCUUAGUAUAUGCUAGUAGUUGAUGGGAGUUGAUUUGUCUGGAGGUACAGAUUUACUGGAGGGGAGAAAAGUGGUCUGUGUCCCCUGCAUUACCUGUGCUACAUGAGUCCCUUCACCUGGCUGUGUGAUGGGGAAGCAACUUACUAUCUUGGAUGUACCUAGAGCUUUGCACACCUGUAGGUUUGGACUCCGAAGCAGAACUUGUUGAAAAUAUUUUUUUUGUGUUUCAACUAAGUUCAAAUGCAGCGGUAAGCGCAUGAGUCUGAUCAUCUCCAGCUGUCGUGGAAUCUCCAGAAGAGGACCUCAGACAGAAAGGAUCUCUUCCCUCCUUCAGUCUUUACAGGAGCUCUGCCUGUGUAAGAAAAGGACACGUAGCCUGCCUUACGCAGAGGUCUGUGAGAUCUCUUGGAGCUGGGAGCUGUCUGCGUUGAGGUUUUGUGCCUUUGCACAGCUGUAGUCUUGCGAAGGUCUCAUGUGGGAACGGGAAGGUGUCUGGGGGGACCUGCAGUAUGUGCAAUGUGUCAUGUCUCUUUCUUCAUACACACAACGAUUCAAGUCAGAAUAGAUCUAUACAAGAAAAGCAGAGUAAAAUUGUGGAUUUCUGUUGAGAAUACGCACAUCUGGGAGAACACCAGUCCUACCUUGCUAGUUAUAAAACAGGGGCAAAGCAACCAGGAGAGCCUAAGAUUUAGGGAGCGUGCUGAAGUUUGUAGAGAACAAAAGAUGGCUUUUGCAACUGUAAGUCAUUUCAUCAUUGGUCUGGGAAGUGCAUUAACAUUGCUUUGUUUCCAUGUGUGACCCUGAGUCUCUUUCAGUUUUUGCUAUGUCUGCUCGUGUUGUACAUCUUCAGCUGUCAGUAAGUCAGGAAGCUGCAAACGGAAGGUGGGUGAGAAAGUGGGCUACCUCAGGGAGUGCAGAGACGAUGUCUGAAGGGAAAGCUGGCAUUUCCACUGCAGUUAAGCAAGUUCCUGUAGUCAACAACAAUCUCGAGUGCUCUGCUUGUUCUCAGAAAUUGUAUAGAUCCAUCAUCUGGAGCUUGCAUUAAUACAUAUUUGCAGUAAUGUUAUUAAAUGUGCACUAUAAAUACACAUGUUGUUCAGAGUAAUAGGCUAAUAUUUCCAAAAACAUUUUGGCAUUAUUCAGGGCUAGUUUCUAAGAUCAAAAUGCUGAGAGACCAGAGAAAAGUUUUUCACUCCUAAAAUAUGUUUCUAACAGUGGCUUCUACUGUACUCAGCAGAGAGAUUCAAUGGAGUUUCACCAGAUGUGAAGUUUUGUCAUAGACGUAUCAUCUGUGAUAAGAGGAUGCCCCAUCUUUGUGGCACUUGGAACUGUAAAAAGUCAAGCGAUAAAUGAUAUUAAAUAUUAUGUGUAGUGGUUUUAUUACUGCUUAUUAUUGUUUAUUAUAGAGAAGUCUCCAAAUCUCCAUUUUGUUUUAUGCCCUGUAACUGGUAAGUAUUCUUGAAUAUCUUGUGAUAUCCCCUUGAAAAAAGCUGGAAAAGAUUGCCAAGAAGCUCAAUGAACCGGUCAGGCAUUGUCUUUGCCUUGAAAAGUGACCCAAGUAACAAGAAAUGGCAUCACAUUACCUGUCCUUUGGGGAAUUGUGGUGGAUAUUGGGCCCAAGAGACUUUGCAACAUCAAUUCACCUGAUAAUGCCCUUGGACUUAUAAUAGACCUGGAUUCUUUGGGGUAAUUUACCCUUUUGGUUAUAAAGUGUAAAGUCAAGUUGAAAAAGAAAAUAAAGAACAGAAAGGACCUUCUGGAGUACACGUAAAAUACAUGAACUCAGUGUGUUUGGUGUUCCUUUCUCUUUUUGUCUUAAAGACCCUAUAACUUCCAUUCCCAAAUGAGUUCCUGAAGCACUGGGAUUACUAAUUCACCCUCAGGUCUUAAAUCAAUGAAACUUUUGCCUCUGGUUCCUUUGCGGAAGGACAUGAAGUGAGAAUAUGUCUACAGCAGCAACUUAAUCUAACAAAGAAAAGGAAAGCCACAUGGGUAGAAUAAGCAACAGCUGCAUAUCAUGGGAUAGCAUCCUGCCUUAGGAUCACUAGCAAAAAUAUUUUCUUCAAUGUGUGCUGCUAUCAAAGAUAUUAUUUUUUUGUAAAAUCGCUGCAUACCUGAACUGGCAGUAAUCAAAGGAGCUGUGCUUAUGGCUGUAUUUUGGAAGUGCAGAGCCAGAAUCUGCAUAACUGACUUCAGUGGAGUUGUACACAGCAUAAGAGAGACAGAAUUCAUCCUUUGGGAAUAAUUUAAAAUAGGUAUGUGCAUGAAUCCCUCUGAUCCAAAUCAUUUCAUGGCUAUAUUAAAGGAGACAAAUUUAAGAUUCACAAACACUUCCCCCUGCCCUUCCCAUUACCACCACCUGAAUUAUAAAAAUGAGGCAGAAUGAACUGAUGUGUUGCUCUUUAUUUUAAUACAACUUUUUAUGUUUUUUUUUUUUUUUAAUCAUUAGUGGUACAAGACACAUGGCUAGUUCAUCUCUGAAAGAUAUUAGAAAAUGUCUCUUUUGGUUGCAUUCUUUGCAAUGGAAAACACAUUGGAUAAACUCUUGGCCAGCCAACAUGGAUUGGAUUUUGCUGCUGAUUUCUGUGAGGACAAGAGCACAGCGCGCUGUGAAGUAAAUUAUCAUUUUUCUCUUUGUAGUCACUAAUGUGUUUCCCCGGUCUUUGAGGCUCUAGCAUGUGUGAUAUGAGCAAGGACACAGUAUUGGAGGACCUCACAGCAGUUAAAGACAUGAUAGGAUCAGAACCUGGAAGUAGUUUGUUUUCUAGACUAACAACUAUGUUUCGUUGGCAGUACUGCACUGCACGUACUUUGUAGGGAAAAUGUGGGUUUCAAAAUAGCCGUGUCCAUUUUGCAGCUAUGUGGGUACUUCUGCUUUUUUAUGUUUAUCUUUGCAAAUUAGAUAUUCUUUAGAAGCAUUAUUCCCUCAUGUGACACGAUGUGAAUUCCAUAUGCUUAAUAGUAAACUAAAUUGCUGAUACCUCAAGAUUUAUUUUCAGUAUAGUUAGGCUGAACUAUAUUUUGAUAUAAUUUAUUAUAUAUUUUAUAUACUAAUUUUUCCUGUGAGACUUAGUCCUGUUAAUAAAAAGAUUCAUCCAAAUUCCUCCGAAAGUAUGUUUGUAAAGUUUUCCAGUGGAAAAAAGAUGAAUUUGAAGUUUGUUUGCAUUUUCUUAUUGUAUGCUCAUGAGUAAUAGUGACUUUGUGGAAGUACACAAGCAUCUGAUAUAUGUGUUCCAACACUCUGUAUAUUUGGUGUGCCAGGAUAUUAACAUUUUUGUUCUUUGCAAAGGAUGGAAAAUGGUGGUGUAUGUUAAAAAUAACAAAUAUGAUUAAUUAAACAGGUUAAAACUUCA